GACGAACGCUGGCGGCGUGCUUAACACAUGCAAGUCGAACGGAAAGGCCCUGCUUUUGUGGGGUGCUCGAGUGGCGAACGAGUGAGUAACACGUGAGUAACCUGCCCUUGACUUUGGGAUAACUUCAGGAAACUGGGGCUAAUACCGGAUAGGAGCUCCUGCUGCAUGGUGGGGGUUGGAAAGUUUCGGCGGUUGGGGAUGGACUCGCGGCUUAUCAGCUUGUUGGUGGGGUAGUGGCUUACCAAGGCUUUGACGGGUAGCCGGCCUGAGAGGGUGACCGGCCACAUUGGGACUGAGAUACGGCCCAGACUCCUACGGGAGGCAGCAGUGGGGAAUAUUGCACAAUGGGCGGAAGCCUGAUGCAGCAACGCCGCGUGCGGGAUGACGGCCUUCGGGUUGUAAACCGCUUUCGCCUGUGACGAAGCGUGAGUGACGGUAAUGGGUAAAGAAGCACCGGCUAACUACGUGCCAGCAGCCGCGGUGAUACGUAGGGUGCGAGCGUUGUCCGGAUUUAUUGGGCGUAAAGGGCUCGUAGGUGGUUGAUCGCGUCGGAAGUGUAAUCUUGGGGCUUAACCCUGAGCGUGCUUUCGAUACGGGUUGACUUGAGGAAGGUAGGGGAGAAUGGAAUUCCUGGUGGAGCGGUGGAAUGCGCAGAUAUCAGGAGGAACACCAGUGGCGAAGGCGGUUCUCUGGGCCUUUCCUGACGCUGAGGAGCGAAAGCGUGGGGAGCGAACAGGCUUAGAUACCCUGGUAGUCCACGCUGUAAACGGUGGGUACUAGGUGUGGGGUCCAUUCCACGGGUUCCGUGCCGUAGCUAACGCUUUAAGUACCCCGCCUGGGGAGUACGGCCGCAAGGCUAAAACUCAAAGGAAUUGACGGGGCCCCGCACAAGCGGCGGAGCAUGCGGAUUAAUUCGAUGCAACGCGUAGAACCUUACCUGGGUUUGACAUGGAUCGGGAGUGCUCAGAGAUGGGUGUGCCUCUUUUGGGGUCGGUUCACAGGUGGUGCAUGGCUGUCGUCAGCUCGUGUCGUGAGAUGUUGGGUUAAGUCCCGCAACGAGCGCAACCCUUGUUCACUGUUGCCAGCACGUUAUGGUGGGGACUCAGUGGAGACCGCCGGGGUCAACUCGGAGGAAGGUGGGGAUGACGUCAAGUCAUCAUGCCCCUUAUGUCCAGGGCUUCACGCAUGCUACAAUGGCUGGUACAGAGAGUGGCGAGCCUGUGAGGGUGAGCGAAUCUCGGAAAGCCGGUCUCAGUUCGGAUUGGGGUCUGCAACUCGACCUCAUGAAGUCGGAGUCGCUAGUAAUCGCAGAUCAGCAACGCUGCGGUGAAUACGUUCCCGGGACU
rnacentral:rRNA from 1 species